GUCGAACGGAUUAUUCUUUAUAGCUUGCUAUAAAGAAUAGUUAGUGGCAGACGGGUGAGUAAUGCAUAGGAAUCUACCUAGUAGUAUGGGAUAGCCACUAGAAAUGGUGGGUAAUACUGUAUAAUCCCUGCGGGGGAAAGAUUUAUCGCUAUUAGAUGAGCCUAUGUUAGAUUAGCUAGUUGGUAGGGUAAAGGCCUACCAAGGCGAUGAUCUAUAGCUGGUCUGAGAGGAUGAUCAGCCACACUGGAACUGAGAUACGGUCCAGACUCCUACGGGAGGCAGCAGUGGGGAAUAUUGGACAAUGGGCGCAAGCCUGAUCCAGCUAUGCCGCGUGAGUGAGGAAGGCCUUA
rnacentral:rRNA from 1 species